rnacentral:rRNA from 1 species
AUUGAACGCUGGCGGCAUGCCUUACACAUGCAAGUCGAACGGCAGCACGGGAGCAAUCCUGGUGGCGAGUGGCGAACGGGUGAGUAAUAUAUCGGAACGUGCCCAGUCGUGGGGGAUAACGUAGCGAAAGCUACGCUAAUACCGCAUACGAUCUAUGGAUGAAAGCGGGGGGAUCGCAAGACCUCGCGCGAUUGGAGCGGCCGAUAUCAGAUUAGGUAGUUGGUGAGGUAAAGGCUCACCAAGCCGACGAUCUGUAGCUGGUCUGAGAGGACGGCCAGCCACACUGGGACUGAGACACGGCCCAGACUCCUACGGGAGGCAGCAGUGGGGGAAUUUUUGGGACAAUGGGCGCAAGACCUGAUCCAGCAAUGCCGCGUGCAGGA